GAUUGAUUUUCUCCCUGCUUGUGAGAUGAAACCAGGGAGUGUUCUACCCUUCACAAGCAAACUGCAGCUUAAAUUACAGUCUGACCUUUGGCUUGCUGGUGGGGCAACAUUUCCCUGACAUGGCCUUGUCAAACUGUCCUUUCUCUUUGCAAACCUCAAGAUAGGACGUAAUGUGCCAAGCAAGUUCUUCCAAAAAUCUUGCAGAGAACAAGCUGGCAACUUUUCCAGUAAUUUGUGGUUGUGAAAGAUGAAUAGUAGACAUUUCAGGAAAGGGAAGUGUCCUGGGGCAAUGCGUUAUAUAGAUAUUCACUUCUGGACUGGAAAUCUCAUUCUUGAGAUUUCACUGACCAGCAACACUCCAGUGAAACUGCAGUCAAAAUUUAUGGAGUCUGCAGUAAAUAUGAAGCUAAAGUAACAGGCAAUGAAGAGCUCACCUGCUGCCUCCAGGGCUGCUUAACAUGCUGCAACCAGGCUGAAUGGUGCAUAUUGGACUGGAACCUGGAUCCUUGAGUAAAUGAAAGGAGAAAAGCCCCUAUCCAGUAUAUCAGAUUUGUGUAAACCAAAAAAUAAACUUUCAAUAUGGUAACUAAACUGGAAUAACGCAUAUGACGGGGGAGAGUUCCCUGACCCUCUUGCGAGUCUUGCCACAGGGAGGGUGUGGAGGGUUGGUGGUAGCUUGUUUUGCUUUGUUGCUGAACUCAAGCCCCUUGCAGGAGUGGGAGCAUGCAGCACUCUCCAGGAAAAGCUGCCUGCUAGAUAACAUGAAGACACGCCAGCAGCCUCAUGGGGGUGGAGGGAAGAGAGGCCUCAUGGUGAGGGACUGAGGCCUCCUACUAAAAGCCAGCACUAACUUGUCAGGCAUGAAAGUGAGCCACCUGGAAGCACAUCUUCAGCCCCUGUGGACCCUUUAGAUGACUGCAGGCCCUGCUGACAUCUUGACUGAAACCUCAUGAGACAGCUAGAACCAGAAUCGCCCAGAGAGAAGAACAUCAAAGGUGCGGGUUUAGGGCCCAGAAAGCCACUGGCCCCUUAAUAUCCAGAAAAGGACAAAAACUCACGGGAGUCAAGCACUGUUUGCCUGGAAGAAGAAAGAUAAAGACACAGACAAGCCCUGCUCCCCCACCAGCCAAAACUACUAUUCUACCUGUUUCCUGAUUCUGACCCACGUAUAUUCACUUGUUUCAUCAUUUUCUCAUUCAAAAAUAUAUUCAUUCAAUUAAUAAUGAUUUACUGAGUGUGUAUUAUGUAGCCAGUGCUUGCAUGGAACUCAGAUUACAGCUGGAAAUGAAACAGAUCUGGUCUUACACCCUCUGUACAUCUUCUUCCUCCUGUUACCACUCUAUCCUGUCUUCAACCUCAACUUCACUACUAAUUUCAUACUUAA
rnacentral:lncRNA from 10 species